UAGGGAAUCUUCGGCAAUGGACGAAAGUCUGACCGAGCAACGCCGCGUGAGUGAAGAAGGUUUUCGGAUCGUAAAACUCUGUUGUUAGAGAAGAACAAGGACGUUAGUAACUGAACGUCCCCUGACGGUAUCUAACCAGAAAGCCACGGCUAACUACGUGCCAGCAGCCGCGGUAAUACGUAGGUGGCAAGCGUUGUCCGGAUUUAUUGGGCGUAAAGCGAGCGCAGGCGGUUUCUUAAGUCUGAUGUGAAAGCCCCCGGCUCAACCGGGGAGGGUCAUUGGAAACUGGGCGACUUGAGUGCAGAAGAGGGGAGUGGAAUUCCAUGUGUAGCGGUGAAAUGCGUAGAUAUAUGGAGGAACACCAGUGGCGAAGGCGGCUCUCUGGUCUGUAACUGACGCUGAGGCUCGAAAGCGUGGGGAGCAAACAGG
rnacentral:rRNA from 1 species